rnacentral:rRNA from 1 species
AGAGUUUGAUCCUGGCUCAGGACGAACGCUGGCGGCGUGCUUAACACAUGCAAGUCGAGGGGGCCCAGCAAUGGGUCACCGGCGAACGGGUGCGUAACACGUAAGCGACCUACCGCGGAAUGGGGGAUAGCCGGCCCAACGGCCGGGUAAUACCGCAUACGCUUCUUUUGCUGCAUGGCAGGAGAAGGAAACCCUUUGGGGGUUCUGCGCGGGGCUUGCGGCCUAUCAGCUAGUUGGUGGGGUCAUGGCCCACCAAGGCGACGACGGGUAGCUGGUCUGAGAGGAUGGCCAGCCACAUUGGGACUGAGAGACGGCCCAGACUCCUACGGGAGGCAGCAGUGGGGAAUCUUGCGCAAUGGGCGAAAGCCUGACGCAGCGACGCCGCGUGGGGGAUGACGGCCUUCGGGUUGUAAACCCCUGUUGCCCGGGACGAACAACGAGUUUCGACUCGUCUGACGGUACCGGGUGAGGAAGCACCGGCUAACUCUGUGCCAGCAGCCGCGGUAAUACAGAGGGUGCGAGCGUUGUCCGGAAUCACUGGGCGUAAAGGGCGCGUAGGCGGUGCGUCAAGCGUGCGGUGAAAGCCCGAGGCUCAACUUCGGGUCGGCCGUGCGAACUGGCGCACUCGAGCACAGUAGAGGCAGGUGGAAUUCCGGGUGUAGCGGUGGAAUGCGUAAGAUCCGGAAGAACACCGGUGGCGAAGGCGGCCUGCUGGGCUGUGGCUGACGCUGAAGGCGCGACAGCGUGGGGGAGCAAACCAGGAUUUAAAUACCCUGGUAANUCCACGCCGUAAACAAUGGGCACUAAGGUUGCUUUGGGGGGAAGCGAACCCCCUGGGUGNCCCGGCAGCUAACGCAUGAAANUGCCCCCAGCCUUGGGGGAGUACGGCCGCAAGGCUGAAACUCAAAAGGAAUUGACGGGGCCCGCACAAACGGUGGAGCAUGUGGUUUAAUUGACGCAACGCGAAGAACCUAACCUAGGCUUUGACAGUGCACGGGACCGCCCAUCAGAAACGGGGGCCUCUCUUCGGAGUCCGUGCACAGGUGCUGCAUGGCUGUCGUCAGCUCGUGUCGUGAGAUGUUGGGUUAAGUCCCGCAACGAGCGCAACCCUUGCCCUUAGUUACCAGCGGGUAAAGCCGGGGACUUAGGGGGACUGCCGGUGCCAAACCGGAGGAAGUUGGGGACGACGUCNAGUCAUNAUGGUCCUUANNGUCUAGGGCUACACACGUGCUACAAUGGUCGGUACAGAGGGUUGCGAACUGGCAACAGGGAGCCAAUCCCGGAAAGCCGACCUCAGUGCGGAUUGUCGUCUGCAACUCGACGGCAUGAAGCUGGAAUCGUCUAGUAAUCGUGGAUGAGCUACGCCACGGUGAAUACGUUCCCGGGCCUUGUACACACCGACCCGUCAGCGCCAUGGAAGCUGUGAGCGCCCGAAGUCCGUGCCAGAACCCGCCAAGGGAGCGUAAGUCGGCCGUAAGGCUGAGCUGCAGUGAACGUGGGGCUGAAGUCUGUAACAAGGUAGCCGUAGGGGAACCUG